rnacentral:rRNA from 1 species
CCUACGGGAGGCAGCAGUGGGGAAUAUUGGACAAUGGGCGAAAGCCUGAUCCAGCCAUGCCGCGUGUGUGAAGAAGGCCUUCGGGUUGUAAAGCACUUUCAGUGGGGAAGAAAGCCUUGGGGCUAAUACCCUCGAGGAAGGACAUCACCCACAGAAGAAGCACCGGCUAACUCCGUGCCAGCAGCCGCGGUAAUACGGAGGGUGCGAGCGUUAAUCGGAAUUACUGGGCGUAAAGCGCGCGUAGGCGGUCUGAUAAGCCGGUUGUGAAAGCCCCGGGCUCAACCUGGGAACGGCAUCCGGAACUGUCAGGCUAGAGUGCAGGAGAGGAAGGUAGAAUUCCCGGUGUAGCGGUGAAAUGCGUAGAGAUCGGGAGGAAUACCAGUGGCGAAGGCGGCCUUCUGGACUGACACUGACGCCGAGGUGCGAAAGCGUGGGUAGCAAACAGGAUUAGAUACCCUGGUAGUC